GUCUAUGGCCAUGCUACCCUGAACAAGCCCAAUCCCGUCUGAUCUCAGAAGCUAAGCAGGGUCGGGCCUGGUUAGUACUUGGAUAGGAGACCACCUAGGAAGACCAGGUGCUGUAGACG
rnacentral:rRNA from 1 species